CGCUGGCGGCAGGCCUAACACAUGCAAGUCGAGCGGCAGCGCGUCCGACCACCCUCGGGUGGUCGGAUGGCGGCGAGCGGCGGACGGGUGAGGAAUGCAUCGGAAUCUGCCUCGUUGUGGGGGAUAACGUAGGGAAACUUACGCUAAUACCGCAUACGACCUACGGGUGAAAGUGGGGGACCUUCGGGCCUCACGCGAUGAGAUGAGCCGAUGCCGGAUUAGCUAGUUGGCGGGGUAAAGGCCCACCAAGGCGACGAUCCGUAGCUGGUCUGAGAGGAUGAUCAGCCACACUGGAACUGAGACACGGUCCAGACUCCUACGGGAGGCAGCAGUGGGGAAUAUUGGACAAUGGGGGCAACCCUGAUCCAGCCAUGCCGCGUGUGUGAAGAAGGCCUUCGGGUUGUAAAGCACUUUUGUUGGGGAAGAAACCGGCCGGGUUAAUACCCUGGUUGAAUGACGGUACCCAAAGAAUAAGCACCGGCUAACUUCGUG
rnacentral:rRNA from 1 species